AUACAAUGGGGGGAUGCAAGGGGGAGAAUCCCCAUGCCGUUAAAGGAGGGUGCUCAGGAUGCUUGCAUCCGUCGAAGGGAAC
rfam:Clostridiales bacterium GWB2_37_7 gwb2_scaffold_803, whole genome shotgun sequence.